rnacentral:rRNA from 1 species
AUUGAACGCUGGCGGCAGGCCUAACACAUGCAAGUCGAGCGGAUGACGGGAGCUUGCUCCUUGAUUCAGCGGCGGACGGGUGAGUAAUGCCUAGGAAUCUGCCUGGUAGUGGGGGACAACGUUUCGAAAGGAACGCUAAUACCGCAUACGUCCUACGGGAGAAAGCAGGGGACCUUCGGGCCUUGCGCUAUCAGAUGAGCCUAGGUCGGAUUAGCUAGUUGAUGGGGUAAUGGCUCACCAAGGCGACGAUCCGUAACUGGUCUGAGAGGAUGAUCAGUCACACUGGAACUGAGACACGGUCCAGACUCCUACGGGAGGCAGCAGUGGGGAAUAUUGGACAAUGGGCGAAAGCCUGAUCCAGCCAUGCCGCGUGUGUGAAGAAGGUCUUCGGAUUGUAAAGCACUUUAAGUUGGGAGGAAGGGUUGUAGAUUAAUACUCUGCAAUUUUGACGUUACCGACAGAAUAAGCACCGGCUAACUCUGUGCCAGCCGCCGCCGUAACAC